CCUUUACACAAAGCACUCGCAAUAUUGGUUUCUUAUGGAACAGUAGCUCCAGUAUUUGGCAUCGGUUAUUCGUUAUUUUAAUGUCAACCUGCUCAACCGGUAAUUGACUUAAGAGAUUAGUUUCACUAUCAUUAUCCGAUCCACGAUUCUGUUAUCAAUUGAAUACACGUUAUAUUAGUUACAGGCUUUAGAAAUAAAUUAACCUGACAUUGCCCUUCCUGCUCAGUCUUCUCAUAUGAAACUCUCAUCUAUGCCAUAAUGAGUAGCGUGACUGACAGCCCAGCCAGAGACCUAGUGACAGGAGGAGAGGAUGCCCGAGUGCUGCCACCACUGUCCCCUCCAGUUUAAGUCUCACACCAGUGCAAAACAAAA
rnacentral:miRNA from 1 species